CGCCACCUUCAGCUGAAAACAUAGAAUUUGAGUCAUUUUGAAUAAAUUUUAGCCAUUGGCUAAAGAGUAAAGUACUACGUAAACCAGUAGAGUACUACGUAGCAGCUCCGUGCCAAAGUUAUAAAAGCAACGAGCGUCUCGGCCACGCCCUGUGGCGAGAGGGAGUUGGAUUUGCAAGCGAGCGUAGGAGGUCAGCGGUAGUUCAGCAUUAGCAUAUAGCAUUAGCAUAUCCUAGUCUUUAGCAUAUCUUUUAGUGUUAUAAAUACUUAUUUAGUGUUAGAUUUGGCUGUUGGAUAUUGUAGUUUAGUUAGUGUUUGGCUGUUAGUGUAAUUGGGAAAGUAGUUCGGGUUUAGUGCUCCAUAUCGUGUUAGUAUUGGUGAGUAGGUGUAGUGUAGUAUAUGGUUGCGGUGACUCUGUGGGCAUUUUACCCGCGAUUCUGCACGCCUCCGUUUGAAGAGGGAGGCUGCCCACCGUGGCUCUUCCGCGAUUUAGAUGCAGCCCACCGACUCUGCUCCCCCACCACGGCGGGCUCCAGUCUGAGGCUAAAUCUACCCAAGACACUGGCUGUCAGACUGAUUUAGCUGCAAGAAUGCACUUGUCCAGGCAGACGUGAAGCCUUACCUGUAGCAAAGCCAGCCAGAAUGGAGUUCACAGCCGCAGUGUGUCUGGUGACCCACGGGGACCAUGAUGAAAAUUCAUCUUCCAGAAGGUCCCAGAGCAGCGGCCGCACCCCCUGAAAAGACCAAGGUGUGAGGUGUCUGCUGUUGAUUCCAGCUUCCACCUCAGUGACAGUGCAAGCUCAGUGAACUGUUCAAGGUAAAAAAAAAUUAAAACAUUUCAGAAUUUUUAAGAUAUUAACAAUUAAAUAAGUAUGUGAUUACAUCAUGACAUCAUGACGAAGGCUACUGAUUCUGCCCCCGUGACACUUGGUGGUAACGUGUGAGCUGAUUCACCUGGAAAACAACUUUUACAUUAAAUAUUUUGUUUUUGCUAUCAAAAGUAAAUUAACUAAUAACCUGCAUUAUUGCAGGACACUCAGCAAAAUCUGGACUCUACACCAUGAGGCAGGCACACGUUAAUAACUCUAUAAGAGCACAUAAGGUGAGCAACACCACAUAUAGUACACUGUCCUGAAUUUGUUUUCUUUCUGCAUCUCAUUA